AUUGAACGCUGGCGGCAUGCCUUACACAUGCAAGCCGAACGGUAACAGGUUAAGCUGACGAGUGGCGAACGGGUGAGUAAUAUAUCGGAACGUGCCCAGUAGUGGGGGAUAGCCCGGCGAAAGCCGGAUUAAUACCGCAUACGACCUACGGGUGAAAGGGGGGGAUCGCAAGACCUCUCGCUAUUGGAGCGGCCGAUAUCAGAUUAGGUAGUUGGUGGGGUAAAGGCCUACCAAGCCUGCGAUCUGUAGUUGGUCUGAGAGGACGACCAGCCACACUGGGACUGAGGCACGGCCCAGACUCCUACGGGAGGCAGCAGUGGGGAAUUUUGGACAAUGGGCGCAAGCCUGAUCCAGCAAUGCCGCGUGCAGGAAGAAGGCCUUCGGGUUGUAAACUGCUUUUGUCAGGGAAGAAAUCCUCUGGGUUAAUACCUCGGGGGGAUGACGGUACCUGAAGAAUAAGCACCGGCUAACUACGUGCCAGCCGCCGCCGUAAUAC
rnacentral:rRNA from 1 species